rnacentral:rRNA from 1 species
AGCAGCCGCGGUAAUUCCAGCUCCAAUAGCGUAUAUUAAAGUUGUUGCAGUUAAAAAGCUCGUAGUUGAAUUUCGGGAUCAAUACGUCGGUCGUGCUUCGGUACGUACUGGCGUCAUUGAUUUCUCCCUUCUGACGAACCAUGAUGUCAUUAACUUGGUGUCAUGGGAAAUCAGGACUGUUACUUUGAAAAAAUUAGAGUGUUUAAAGCAGGCUCACGCUUGAAUACAUUAGCAUGGAAUAAUGAAAUAGGACGUUCGAUCCUAUUUUGUUGGUUUUAGGAUCAACGUAAUGAUUAAUAGGGAUAGUUGGGGGCAUUAGUAUUCAAUUGUCAGAGGUGAAAUUCUUGGAUUUAUUGAAGACUAACUACUGCGAAAGCAUUUGCCAAGGAUGUUUUCAUUAAUCAAGAACGAAAGUUAGGGAUCGAAGACGAUCAGAUACCGUCGUAGUCU